GACGUAGGGGGGCGAGCGUUGUCCGGAUUUAUUGGGCGUAAAGAGCUCGUAGGCGGCUCAGAAAGUCGGGUGUGAAACCUCCAGGCUCAACCUGGAGACGCCACCUGAUACUGCUGUGGCUAGAGUCCGGUAGGGGAACACGGAAUACCCGGUGUAGCGGUGAAAUGCUUAGAUAUCGGGUGGAACACCAGUGGCGAAGGCGGUGUUCUGGGCCGGAACUGACGCUGAGGAGCGAAAGCGUGGGUAGCAAACAGG
rnacentral:rRNA from 1 species